rnacentral:tRNA from 1 species
AAACUAACUUUUAUGUUUUGAAAACAUAAUUUAAGGAUUUUUCCUUUUAGUUUG